rnacentral:piRNA from 7 species
CUAAGGCUAAAUACCGGCACGAGACCGA